AACCAUUCUCACCUGCGGCUAGACCUGCGGAGGGAUCAUUACAGAGUUGCAAAACUCCCUAAACCAUUGUGAACGUUACCUAAACCGUUGCUUCGGCGGGCGGCCCGGGUCCUUCCCGGCGCCCAUCGGCCCUCGCGGGCGCCCGCCGGAGGUAAACCAAACUAUUGCAUUGUAUGGCCUCUCUGAGUCUUCUGUACUGAAUAAGUCAAAACUUUCAGCAACGGAUCUCAGAUCGGAAGA
rnacentral:misc_RNA from 1 species